UGUAAGCGUAUACCAAAGUUGUUGCAGUUAAAACGCUCGUAGUCGGAAUUUGGCAGUUCCGGAAGUGUGCACGUCGUGUGCGCACUUUGCGGGGACUGCUUUUGUGGUCUUGCGUAGGAUGAGGCACUUCCAUUAGUGAACGUCCUCACGCAACCACUCUUUACUGUGAGAAAAUCAGAGUGCUCAAAGCAGGCAUUUGCCGUGAAUGUAUUAGCAUGGAAUAAUAGAAUAGGACUCGGUUCUAUUUUGUUGGUUUGUUGGGACUGAGUAAUGAUUAAGAGGGACAGUUGGGGGCAUUUGUAUUCCGGCGCUAGAGGUGAAAUUCUUAGAUUGCCGGAAGACAAACUGCUGCGAAAGCGUCUGCCAAGGAUGUUUUCAUUGA
rnacentral:rRNA from 1 species